CUUUCACCCUCACUCUGGAACAAGACCCUGAGAUGCAUGAACUCUUUCACUCCCCACCUGCAGGUCAUUUGCAGCCUGCAUGAUUCAAAGACAGAGGGACAGAAACAGCUUAUGAAAUAAGUCAAUACUGUUUCACCAAAAAGUCAUAGCCCUGAAAACUUUGAGUAUAAAUGCUGGUAUUAUCGUUCAACAACUUUCUUUCCCCUUCUUCUUGGUCCUCUGUCAACAUGAAUAGACCUGAGAUGGCACAUUAUGUAUUGGGGGGAUAAAAACAGAGAGAACAUUACACUCCUCUGCAGCAUAUAAGAUGCAGACUGUCUGUCACUCACAUAUAACUGUCUUUGGAAAAUAAACACCAGCCAUGAUCUCUGCAAACAGCUCUGCCCGGGCUCUUGAACACACCUUGUUUGUCAGGGACGGCGCCAGCUGCAGAGGCCCGCAGCA